rnacentral:lncRNA from 1 species
CAUGGACCAGGAUUUCAAGAGCUCAACUGAGCUGGGAAUCUCUGGCUUCAAAUAUUGGGCAGUUAGGUGAAAAUAUUUCCCAAUGACCACAAUAUGGAGAUGAAAAUCUCUGUUUUUCCACCUACCCAGGCCCUCUGUCCCUGAUUUAUACCCAGGAAAGACAAGCAGGGCAGCCUAGUUCUGUCAGCCCUCAAUGCAUCCCUGGCCCUUCCUAUGCAGUUUGUCUGGAGCUACUAAAUCACCAUGUGCCCUGACUGCCUGCAAGGACUGGGUGCCAUCUGAGCAACGACAGCUCAUCUAG